UGGGGAAUAUUGCACAAUGGAGGGAACUCUGAUGCAGCGACGCCGCGUGAACGAAGAAGGCUUUCGAGUCGUAAAGUUCUUUUAUAUGGGAAGAUAAUGACGGUACCAUAAGAAAAAGCCCCGGCUAACUACGUGCCAGCAGCCGCGGUAAUACGUAGGGGGCUAGCGUUGUCCGGAAUCACUGGGCGUAAAGCGAGCGCAGGCGGUUAGAAAAGUCUGAAGUGAAAGGCAGUGGCUCAACCAUUGUAGGCUUUGGAAACUGUUUAACUUGAGUGCAGAAGGGGAGAGUGGAAUUCCAUGUGUAGCGGUGAAAUGCGUAGAUAUAUGGAGGAACACCGGUGGCGAAAGCGGCUCUCUGGUCUGUAACUGACGCUGAGGCUCGAAAGCGUGGGGAGCGAACAGG
rnacentral:rRNA from 1 species